UCCACAUCUACAUGUAAAAUACCUGCUUUGUUUUUCCUUUCUUUUGUUCUAUUGGCUAAGCUUUUAUCAUCUCAUUUUGCAUUCUCUAUUUAUCAGCGCAUCAUCUCCAGACUAACUUCUUAUUGUAGUCAAAUCCAGUAGUAGAUGCUGAUCAUGUAAACUGGCCAAUGAUGUGCUCGUAGAAUAAUUAAAUUCUACUAUUGGGAGUUCAAACUGUUCUUUCCUGCAUGUAUUGGCAUGUGAAAAACUAAAUCAACCAUAUCUCUUGAAACAUUCUGAAUUUCUUUUCUCUUUGCUAAUAUAUGCAGGGUCAACCAUCUUUACUGCAUUCAGUCUCCAUCUGUCACUCCCUAGUUAGUUGCCAUUUGCUUUGCUGUAUACCAUCUGAGGUCAAGGCUCAUCCUUGCUAUAUUCUGGGACUCUACUAUGAUUGCUGUGGGAUCUUUGUGAGGGGACCAAAUCCAAGACAGCACAAGCUAGUGGAGGCCCACUGUUCAAUUGACGGAUCAUACAUCUGUUCGUGCGAACUGAUAGACAAGAUAUUGGUCGCUUAGACUUUGAAACACUUCUCUGUGCUUGUUGUUGAUUUUUCUUGAUACCUGGUUGUCCCAAAGGAAAAGGCUUCUUGAUACCUGGUUGUCCCAAAGGAAAAAGCUUCUAUCACGCAACAAAAUUACCGGAACAAUGG
rnacentral:lncRNA from 1 species